UUGUUCCUAACACACGUAAUGAUGUACAUCUAUAAACAAGACCACAUUUUUCUACAUCCUAAUUGUG
rnacentral:tRNA from 1 species